rnacentral:rRNA from 1 species
GCUCAAAGUUGGAACCUGUUUGGCUUAGCUAAACCGGAUUGUAAACUGUAGAAACGUUUUCCUGGCACGCCAGAUAAAUAAGUCCUUUGGAACAGGGCAUCAUAGAGGGUGAGAAUCCCGUCUUUGGUCUGAGCUGUUGUCUAUUGCGAUACGUUUUCAAAGAGUCAGGUUGUUUGGGAAUGCAGCCUAAAUUGGGUGGUAAAUCUCACCUAAAGCUAAAUAUUUGCGAGAGACCGAUAGCGAACAAGUACCGUGAGGGAAAGAUGAAAAGAACUUUGAAAAGAGAGUUAAACAGUAUGUGAAAUUGUUAAAAGGGAACCGUUUGGAGCCAGACUGGCUUGAUCGUAAUCAAUCUAGGUUUCGACCUGGAUGCACUUGCGGUCUAUGCCUGCCAACGACAGUUCUUUCUGAAGGAUAAAACUAGGAGGAAUGUGGCCCCUCGGGGUGUUAUAGCCUUCUAGAUAAUACUUUGGAUGGGACUGAGGAACGCAGUGAAUGCUAUUAUGGCGAGAUUUCUAUUCGCUUUUUUCCGAGAAUGAGUGAAUUUCUGCUU